rnacentral:rRNA from 1 species
GUUUCUUGGAUCUCCGCUAUACUUGGAUAACUGUGGUAAUUCUAGAGCUAAUACAUGCAAUCGAGCUCUGACUUCAUAGGACGAGCGCAUUUAUUAGAACAAAACCAAUCGGCCUUGUGCCGUCUUCUGGUGAAUCUGAAUAACUACGCAGAUCGCUUCGGUUUCACACCGGCGACAAAUCCUUCAAGUGUCUGCCUUAUCAACUUUCGAUGGUAGUUUCUACGCCUACCAUGGUUUCGACGGGUAACGGAGAAUUAGGGUUCGACUCCGGAGAGGGAGCCUGAGAAACGGCUACCACUUCUAAGGAAGGCAGCAGGCGCGCAAAUUACCCACUCUCGGCACGAGGAGGUAGUGACGAAAAAUAACGAGAUAACCCGCUCUAGCGAGUUAUCAUCGGAAUGAGUACAAUCUAAAUCCUUUAACGAGGACCUAGCGGAGGGCAAGUCUGGUGCCAGCAGCCGCGGUAAUUCCAGCUCCGCCAGUGUAUAUCUAUGCUGCUGCGGUUAAAAAGCUCGUAGUUGGAUCUUCGUGUUGAUGCCGGUCUGUCUUUGUGACAUGAACUGACCAUCAGCACUGUUUCGUUGGUUUUCCCUUGAUGCCUUUAAUCGGGUGUCCUGGGUGGCCAACAUGUUUACUUUGAAAAAAUUAGAGUGCUUAAAACAAGCGAUUUGCUUGAAUAUUCGUGCAUGGAAUAAUAGAAUAGGCUUUUGGCUCUAUUUUGUUGGUUUUCGGAGCACAAAAGAAUGAUUAAGAGGGACAGACGGGGCAUUCGUACUCCGACGUUAGAGGUGAAAUUCUUGGAUCGUCGGAUGACGCACUACUGCGAAAGCAUUUGCCAAGAAUGUUUUCAUUAAUCAAGAACGAAAGUUAGAGGUUCGAAGGCGAUCAGAUACCGCCCUAGUUCUAACCGUAAACGAUGCCAACUAGCGAUCUGCUGGUGUUUUUUCAGACCCAGCAGGGAGCUUACCGGAAACGAAAGUCUUCAGGUUCCGGGGGAAGUAUGGUUGCAAAGCUGAAACUUAAAGGAAUUGACGGAAGGGCACCACCAGGAGUGGAGCCUGCGGCUUAAUUUGACCCAACUCGGGAAAACUCACCCGGCCCGGACACCGUAAGGAUUGACAGAUUGAGAGCUCUUUCUUGAUUCGGUGGGUGGUGGUGCAUGGCCGUUCUUAGUUGGUGGAUUGAUUUGUCUGGUUUAUUCCGAUAACGAACGAGACUCCAACCUACUAACUAGUGGGCGAAUCUUCUUGUUCGCAACACUUCUUAGAGGGACAAGCAGUGUUUAGCUGCAUGAGAAGGAGCAAUAACAGGUCUGUGAUGCCCUUAGAUGUCCGGGGCUGCACGCGCGCUACACUGAAGGAAUCAACGUGCUAGAAAACCUUGUUUGACAUGGCUAGGUAACCCCUUGAAAAUCCUUCGUGAUUGGGAUCGGGACUUGCAAAUGUGUCCCUUGAACGAGGAAUUCCCAGUAAGUGCGAGUCGUCAGCUCGCGCUGAUUACGUCCCUGCCCUUUGUACACACCGCCCGUCGCUGCCCGGAACUGAGCCGUUUCGAGAAGACUGGGGACUGCCGACUUAGGGCCCUCACGGGUUUUUUGUCAGUGGAAACCAAUUUAAUCGCAGCGGCUUGAACCGGGCAAAAGUCGUAACAAGGUU